rnacentral:misc_RNA from 1 species
GAUGAAGAACGUAGCGAAAUGCGAUAAGUAGUGUGAAUUGCAGAAUUCAGUGAAUCAUCGAAUCUUUGAACGCACAUUGCGCCCCUUGGUAUUCCAUGGGGCAUGCCUGUUCGAGCGUCAUUUGUACCUUCAAGCUUUGCUUGGUGUUGGGUGUUUGUCCAUUCUCUUGCAGAGGGACUCGCCUUAAAGUAAUUGGCAGCCAGUGUUUUGGUUUUGAAGCGCAGCACAAGUCGCGAUUCAAAGCUAUACGCCCGCUUCCACAAGCCUUUUUCACUUUUGACCUCGGAUCAGGUAGGGAAACCCGCUGAACUUAAGCAUAUCAAUAAGCGGAGGA